rnacentral:tRNA from 1 species
CGGGGUGUGGCGCAGUUGGUAGCGUGCUUGACUGGGGGUCAAGAGGUCGCAAGUUCAAGUCUUGUCACUCCGAC